rnacentral:rRNA from 1 species
GAUGAACGCUGGCGGCGUGCCUAAUACAUGCAAGUCGAGCGAACGGACGAGAAGCUUGCUUCUCUGAUGUUAGCGGCGGACGGGUGAGUAACACGUGGAUAACCUACCUAUAAGACUGGGAUAACUUCGGGAAACCGGAGCUAAUACCGGAUGAUAUUUUGAACCGCAUGGUUCAAAAGUGAAAGACGGUCUUGCCGUCACUUAUAGAUGGAUCCGCGCUGCAUUAGCUAGUUGGUAAGGUAACGGCUUACCAAGGCAACGAUGCAUAGCCGACCUGAGAGGGUGAUCGGCCACACUGGAACUGAGACACGGUCCAGACUCCUACGGGAGGCAGCAGUAGGGAAUCUUCCGCAAUGGGCGAAAGCCUGACGGAGCAACGCCGCGUGAGUGAUGAAGGUCUUCGGAUCGUAAAACUCUGUUAUUAGGGAAGAACAUAUGUGUAAGUAACUGUGCACAUCUUGACGGUACCUAAUCAGAAAGCCACGGCUAACUACGUGCCAGCAGCCGCGGUAAUACGUAGGUGGCAAGCGUUAUCCGGAAUUAUUGGGGGUAAAGCGCGCGUAGCGGUUUUUUAGUCUGAUGUGAAAGCCCACGGCUCAACCGUGGAGGGUCAUUGGAAACUGGAAAACUUGAGUGCAGAAGAGGAAAGUGGAAUUCCAUGUGUAGCGGUGAAAUGCGCAGAGAUAUGGAGGAACACCAGUGGCGAAGGCGACUUUCUGGUCUGUAACUGACGCUGAUGUGCGAAAGCGUGGGGAUCAAACAGGAUUAGAUACCCUGGUAGUCCACGCCGUAAACGAUGAGUGCUAAGUGUUAGGGGGUUUCCGCCCCUUAGUGCUGCAGCUAACGCAUUAAGCACUCCGCCUGGGGAGUACGACCGCAAGGUUGAAACUCAAAGGAAUUGACGGGGACCCGCACAAGCGGUGGAGCAUGUGGUUUAAUUCGAAGCAACGCGAAGAACCUUACCAAAUCUUGACAUCCUUUGACAACUCUAGAGAUAGAGCUUUCCCCUUCGGGGGACAAAGUGACAGGUGGUGCAUGGUUGUCGUCAGCUCGUGUCGUGAGAUGUUGGGUUAAGUCCCGCAACGAGCGCAACCCUUAAGCUUAGUUGCCAUCAUUAAGUUGGGCACUCUAAGUUGACUGCCGGUGACAAACCGGAGGAAGGUGGGGAUGACGUCAAAUCAUCAUGCCCCUUAUGAUUUGGGCUACACACGUGCUACAAUGGACAAUACAAAGGGCAGCGAAACCGUGAGGUCAAGCAAAUCCCAUAAAGUUGUUCUCAGUUCGGAUUGUAGUCUGCAACUCGACUACAUGAAGCUGGAAUCGCUAGUAAUCGUAGAUCAGCAUGCUACGGUGAAUACGUUCCCGGGUCU